CUGCCCAAAUAGAACUCCCAGGAGGAGCAGCGUGUCACACAUGUGAUGUCAUAACCACUGUCCACCAGAGAGCAGCACUGAGCAGAAAUAACACGGCUCCUGCUCAUUCUCCAUCAGUGAGGGGCCGAUGCUGGACACUGUAGGAACCCGGGAAUGCAGAUUCAUACACAGGAUUGUAUUUCCAGGACAUGGAGUCGCAUUUCCGGACCUACAGCAAGAAUUUGGAUGAAGACAUAACCCCUGGAAUCAAGCACAUACACAGACACUUUGCCCAAAUUCUAGAGGUAACCUCCUUUAGUAUGCCCAGAGGAAGGGCAAUACAGUAGCCAUGGAUUCCCUACAGGUUUCCUCCCCUCUGGAGGUUUUUCCUGUCCUGAGUAUUAGUUACUGUACGCUCUUUGUGAGUGAUGGGAGGUUACAAAAAUCCCUACACAAACAUUGUAAUAAAUAAUAAAUAAAGUUUCCCCUUUUUUAACCUUUC